UACGUAGGGGGCAAGCGUUGUCCGGAAUCAUUGGGCGUAAAGAGCGCGUAGGCGGCCCGGUAAGUCCGCUGUGAAAGUCAAGGGCUCAACCCUUGAAUGCCGGUGGAUACUGUCGGGCUCGAGUCCGGAAGAGGAGUGUGGAAUUCCUGGUGUAGCGGUGAAAUGCGCAGAUAUCAGGAGGAACACCAAUGGCGAAGGCAGCACUCUGGGACGUGACUGACGCUGAGACGCGAAAGCGUGGGGAGCAAACAGG
rnacentral:rRNA from 1 species